rnacentral:rRNA from 1 species
UACAGAGGGUGCAAGCGUUGUUCGGAAUUAUUGGGCGUAAAGAGCGUGUAGGCGGCUUUGCAAGUCCGUUGUGAAAACUCGAGGCUCAACCUCGAGACGCCGGUGGAAACUGCAAAGCUAGAGUCCGGAAGAGGAGAGUGGAAUUCCUGGUGUAGCGGUGAAAUGCGCAGAUAUCAGGAAGAACACCCGUGGCGAAGGCGGCUCUCUGGGACGGUACUGACGCUGAGACGCGAAAGCGUGGGGAGCGAACAGG